rnacentral:rRNA from 1 species
UACGUAGGAUGCAAGCGUUGUUCGGAAUUCCUGGGCGUAAAGAGUACGUAGGCGGUAUGGUAAGUCUGAUAUUAAAGACCGGAGCUCAACUCCGGGACUGUAUCGGAAACUGCCAAACUAGAGGACAAUAGAGGAAGUCGGAAUUCUCAGUGUAGCGGUGAAAUGCGUAGAUAUUGGGAAGAACACCAGUGGCGAAAGCGGACUUCUGGGUUGUUACUGACGCUGAGGUACGAAAGCGUGGGGAGCAAACGGG